rfam:Myotis brandtii contig269210, whole genome shotgun sequence.
AGCAGUUCUCAAGUGAUGCACCCUGGAAUCGGGCUCCCUCCUCUCUGGUUCCGGAGUAUGUCACCUGAGAACCACU